GUGGGGAAUCUUGCGCAAUGGGCGAAAGCCUGACGCAGCCAUGCCGCGUGAAUGAUGAAGGUCUUAGGAUUGUAAAAUUCUUUCACCGGGGACGAUAAUGACGGUACCCGGAGAAGAAGCUCCGGCUAACUUCGUGCCAGCAGCCGCGGUAAUACGAAGGGGGCUAGCGUUGCUCGGAAUUACUGGGCGUAAAGGGCGCGUAGGCGGACAGCUUAGUCAGAGGUGAAAGCCCAGGGCUCAACCUUGGAAUUGCCUUUGAUACUGGCUGUCUUGAGUUUGGGAGAGGUAAGUGGAACUCCGAGUGUAGAGGUGAAAUUCGUAGAUAUUCGGAAGAACACCAGUGGCGAAGGCGACUCACUGGCCCAAUACUGACGCUGAGGCGCGAAAGCGUGGGGAGCAAACAGGAUUAGAAACCCCUGUAGUCC
rnacentral:rRNA from 1 species